rnacentral:lncRNA from 1 species
ACAUGAUAGCUCGUUUCUGAGAACACUUUUUUUAUAAUAAUUGCCGUAUUACAAGUUUGUUAUUUUUCCUAGGAACUUGGCCACAUAUGAUGACACAAUGCGAAGGUUUCCCAAUUUUUUGAUUUUUUUGAAUUUUUUAUGCCCGUUUCAAAAUGCGGUCAAAACGGCGGGAAUGACCGUUCCUAGCUAGUGGUUGAAUCUUGGAAUUUUGUUAGUGUUUCUCUGAUUAAAAAGAUACUUAUGUACCUAGAAAUGAUUUUUGAAAAAAAUAAAUAGCAAACUAUGAGGCAACUGCAGUUCAAAUUUGACCUGCUUCCAGCUGAAUCGGCGGAAAUUUGUCUUUUUCACGAGAGGUCGAUCAAAACUUUUUACACCCAACAAUUUUCUCAAUUGUGCAUUAAAUAUGUCCUAGUAUUUUAUAAAAUUGAUUUGGUUCAAUUUUGCAACAAUUAUUUGGGUGGUCCUUCACAAAGAAACCUCCUUUUGGGCACUCAAAAAAUGGAAAAUGGUUUUUUUGUCCAACGAAAAUGAAAACUUCCAUAGACAACAUUGUUUGCCAUUCCAAUAUGCACUCUUGUGCACAAUAUGAGAUCAUUUGAACAAACUAUGCCAUGAAUGUGGCCAUAAGAUUGAUCAUUUGGCUUGAAAGCCAUUGAUCUCCACACAUGAUAGCUCGUUUCUGAGAACACUUUUUUAUAAUAAUUGCCGUAUUGCAAGUUUGUUAUUUUUCCUAGGAACUUGGCCACAUAUGAUGAUACAGUGCGAAGGUUUCCCAAUAUUUUGAUUUUUUUUGAAUUUUUUAUGCCCGUUUCAAAAUGCGAUCAAAACGGCGGGAAUGACCGUUCCUAGCUAGUGGUUGAAUCUUGGAAUUUUGUUGGUUGUUUCUCUGAUUAAAUAGAUACUUAUGUACCUAGAAAUAAUUUUUGUAAAAAAUAAAUAGCAAACUAUGAGGCAGCUGUAGUUCAAAUUUGACCCGCUUCCAACUGAAUCGGCGGAAAUUUGUCUUUUUCACGAGAGGUGGAUCAAAUCUUUUUACACCCAACCAUUUGAUCAAUUGUGCAUUAAAUAUGGCCUAGUAUUUUAGAAAAAUGAUUUGGUCCAAUUUUGCAAUAAUUAUUUGGGAGGUCCUUCACAAAAAAACCUCCUUUUGGGCACUCGAAAAAUGGAAAAUGGUUUUUUCGUCCAAAGAAAAUGAAAACUUCCUUAGGCAACAUUGUUUUCCAUUCCAAUAUGCACCCUUGUGCACAAUAUGAGAUCAUUUGAACAAACUAUGCCAUGAAUGUGGCAAUAAGAUUGAUCAUUUGGCUUGAAAGCUAUUGAUUUCCACACGUGAUAGCUUGUUUCUGAGAACACUUUUUAAAAAUAAUUGCCGUAUUACAAGUUUGUGAUUUUUCCUGGGAACUUGGCCAAAUAUAAUGACACAAUGCGAAGGUUUCCCAAUUUUUUGAUUUUUUUUGAAUUUUUUAAGCCUGUUUCAAAAUAUGGUCAAAACGGCGGGAAUGACCGUUCCUAGCUAGUGGUUGAAUCUUGGAAUUUUUUUGGUGUUUCUCUGAUUAAAUAGAUACUUAUGUACCUAGAAAUGAUUUUUGGAAAAAAUAUAGAGCAAACUA